CCGCGCGCUCCCGGGGCUACCUUGUAGUUCGGCUCUUUAGGAUGGUCCGGGUCGGAGUCGUGUGUAUCUUCAUAGGAAGGAAAAGGAAUUCUGAUCUCAUCAAUAAUCCUGGCCAAAACAAAACACUUUAGUUCCCUAGUUCUGCUGCAGAUAGGGGUUGCUAUGUGACAACAUUUGUGCUCAAGAGACGAAUGUGGAAGUCACUAGGUGGUAAACACUGCCUAUAACUGGAAGCAGACCCAACUUUUUGCCUGUGUUCUUUUCCUCCUUCCAUCCUGGAAGUUGUGCACAUGCCUGGAAAUAGAAUAGUCAUUUUAUAUCCUCUAAAGAUGGAGACCACAAAUUAAGGACGAAAGAACAGAAAGACGGAAUCUCUGUCCCGGUCCUGGACUGCCUACUUCAGACCACUUAUUCUACAUGGAAAAUGAACACCAUACCUGACCAAGCCACUGUGGGUGCAACUCAACACUAUCCCUAACCUAUGCUCUACUUCACAGAACUGGUGAUGAUCCACUGCUAAACUGGGAAUGCACAUCUGGGAAUCCACAUCUGCCUGAAACAUGGCAGGAAGUAACUUGGGAAAGCUGCCCAACCUGCAAAGGAGGACCUUCCCCAGUUGCUGACAUCAGUGAACAAGGAAACUUGUUGCAGUUUAUAUCCAGAUGUCCCCCAAGAGCCUCUUGUGCUCAUAGAUGGCCCUUUUGAAUUAUGAGGGGACUGUAGUUAAA